rnacentral:lncRNA from 1 species
UAAAAUUUUUUUUUUUAAUCUGACAGAUUGAAGUCUUGGUGAUAUGGAUCAAAUGAAACUCUCAUACCUGCUGUGCAAUGAUUGUCUCAUGAUGGACUAUACAACUUCUUCGCCAACUCUGGUUCCAUGUCUGUCACCAUUUAUUAAUAUAUUUGCUUCUCAAAGGCAAAUAUUCACAUAAAGAAGCAAAACCAACAAAGUAGGUGAAGUCUAAGUUUGCAUCAAGCUCAAUGUCUAUUAGAGUAGGGAGACCACAAGCAACUAAAAAAUACGGUAUGGUAAAUGGCAGUAAGUUAUAGAAACGAUCAUAGUGCGGCACCCAGAAUAGGAAGCUUCAACGGUGGGUGCCAUCUUCAGGAACAGUGCGCGGGGCAGACGUCUCUGAAAAUGUGGCAAGCUGAAGUCUGAAGAAAAGGAGGCAGGUGUCAGCCAUGCAAAAAAUCAAGAAAGUUGGAUACAGAAAAACAAAAAGUCAUAAUGAAAGACCCUGAUGUGUGAAGUUAGUCGCUGUAUUUGAGGAGAUGAGAAGAGGGCCAUGGAGUGGAAACUUACAUUGACAGUACGGGGAAGCCAAGAUAGUGAGAAACAACAAGAUGGGUUUUGUACACAUAAUAGGGAGAUGUUAAUUUAUAAAUAAUAUUACAAAAAAAUUAAAUUAUUUCAAUGGUGGCGGUGAAAUGACUUGUUUUAUGCUUUGGGAGGUUUACUCUCAAUGCUGAAUGAAGAAAGUGAUGAGGAGACAAGGAUAGAAUUAAGAAAUGAGUAAGGAGAAUAUUGACUUUGUCCAGACUAGAAAUAUGAUAGCUUAAAAUACGGUUAAGGCAGUAGAGAAAAAUGGUAGUCUUUGAUUAUGGAUUGAAUUCAGGGUGAGGACCAUGGGAAGUAAAACCUCCAAAGUUCUGAUAUGAUCACCAGGCUAGAUAGUCAUUAUAUUUGCUGACAAUUAGGAAACUGGUAGACAGACAGAUUUAGACAGGGAUAAUGAAUGAAAUCAAAAUUUGUUCUUUUACUUUUGAGACUUAAUUUUGAAUUACCUUUUAGACAAUGAAGCAGAAUUGUCUGACAAGCAAAUGAAUAUAUAAACCUACUAGAGCUCAGAGGAAAGAUGUGGACUGGAGACAUGAAUUAUGGGGUCUUGAUUUAUAUAGAUAUCUAAGUCAGGGAAUGAAUGAGAUAAUCUAACAACAAAGUUUAGAAGAAGAAAAGAAGAUACUAUAGGUUAAAAAAAAAAGAAG